rnacentral:rRNA from 1 species
UACGUAGGGGCAAGCGUUGUCCGGAAUCAUUGGGCGUAAAGAGCGCGUAGGCGGCCCUGUAAGUCCGCUGUGAAAGUCAAGGGCUCAACCCUUGAAUGCCGGUGGAUACUGCAGGGCUAGAGUCCGGAAGAGGCGAGUGGAAUCCUGGUGUAGCGGUGAAAUGCGCAGAUAUCAGGAGGAACACCGAUGGCGAAGGCAGCUCGCUGGGACGGUACUGACGCUGAGGCGCGAAAGCGUGGGGAGCAAACAGG